GGCAUGCUUUACACAUGCAAGUCGGACGGCAGCACAGGGAAGCUUGCUUCUCGGGUGGCGAGUGGCGAACGGGUGAGUAACAUAUCGGAACGUACCGGGUAGCGGGGGAUAACUGAUCGAAAGAUCAGCUAAUACCGCAUACGUCUUGAGAGGGAAAGCAGGGGACCUUCGGGCCUUGCGCUAUCCGAGCGGCCGAUAUCUGAUUAGCUGGUUGGCGGGGUAAAGGCCCACCAAGGCGACGAUCAGUAGCGGGUCUGAGAGGAUGAUCCGCCACACUGGGACUGAGACACGGCCCAGACUCCUACGGGAGGCAGCAGUGGGGAAUUUUGGACAAUGGGCGCAAGCCUGAUCCAGCCAUGCCGCGUGUCUGAAGAAGGCCUUCGGGUUGUAAAGGACUUUUGUUAGGGAAGAAAAGGCCGUUGCCAAUAUCGGCGGCCGAUGACGGUACCUGAAGAAUAAGCACCGGCUAACUACGUGCCAGCAGCCGCGGUAAUACGUAGGGUGCGAGCGUUAAUCGGAAUUACUGGGCGUAAAGCGGGCGCAGACGGUUACUUAAGCAGGAUGUGAAAUCCCCGGGCUCAACCCGGGAACUGCGUUCUGAACUGGGUGACUCGAGUGUGUCAGAGGGAGGUGGAAUUCCACGUGUAGCAGUGAAAUGCGUAGAGAUGUGGAGGAAUACCGAUGGCGAAGGCAGCCUCCUGGGAUAACACUGACGUUCAUGUCCGAAAGCGUGGGUAGCAAACAGGAUUAGAUACCCUGGUAGUCCACGCCCUAAACGAUGUCAAUUAGCUGUUGGGCAACUUGAUUGCUUGGUAGCGUAGCUAACGCGUGAAAUUGACCGCCUGGGGAGUACGGUCGCAAGAUUAAAACUCAAAGGAAUUGACGGGGACCCGCACAAGCGGUGGAUGAUGUGGAUUAAUUCGAUGCAACGCGAAGAACCUUACCUGGUUUUGACAUGUGCGGAAUCCUCCGGAGACGGAGGAGUGCCUUCGGGAGCCGUAACACAGGUGCUGCAUGGCUGUCGUCAGCUCGUGUCGUGAGAUGUUGGGUUAAGUCCCGCAACGAGCGCAACCC
rnacentral:rRNA from 1 species